CGUACUUGAAAAUGCCAUUCGAAACCAUUUCGGAUGGUGAUCCAAUUAUAAAGAUAUAACUUUUUCUUAUAAAAUAUACAAAAUUUUUCAAGAAGCACACCAAAGGUCCUGGAACGGAUUUCGUCGGAAAUUAUAUAGGAGGGGGAAUAAAAAAUUCCCAUACACAUAUGAAUGGUUUUCCAAAAUUUGAUAUUUGAAAUCAAGGAGCACCAUGCUUGCUUUAUUGCUUUCAAAAUAAAAUUACAAUGAAAUGAAAUCUACACUAAUGGCGUUUCUCAUAUAUUUUCAGGAAAUAUUAUUGUCUGUUGCUGUGGCAUUUCUCAAAUUGACCUUGAGCUUUUUUAAUAGAUCAAAAAUGUGUUUUAAUUAUUUGUAACUAAUUGCCGCCCAACACUGGCGCAGUAAUGCAGCAGUAGCAGUAGCAGCAGCAGGAACUCGUGGGAUGGUUUCAAUUGGCACUUUUAUGUUUGAAAUUCAAUGCCAUGACACGGAGAACAUUUAUUCGAUAAAGCUGUCAGUACAUACGUAUGGAAUUCAAAAAUAUAAACAUUUUCUUUUUCGA